rnacentral:rRNA from 1 species
UACAGAGGGGGCGAGCGUUGUUCGGAAUUACUGGGCGUAAAGGGCGCGUAGGCGGCCAACUAAGUCAGAUGUGAAAUCCCUCGGCUCAACCGGGGAACUGCGUCUGAUACUGGAUGGCUUGAGUUCGGGAGAGGGAUGCGGAAUUCCAGGUGUAGCGGUGAAAUGCGUAGAUAUCUGGAGGAACACCGGUGGCGAAGGCGGCAUCCUGGACCGAGAUUGACGCUGAUGCGCGAAAGCCAGGGGAGCAAACGGG